rnacentral:lncRNA from 1 species
AGCCAGAUGACCAGAGAUCAGACUAAGCGCUAGCUGACCAAGGGUCGGAUACUUGGUCAGACAAUCUUUAGUUGAAAUUGUCAAACUUAGUCGAGUGAGUUAUGGUCGACCACUGGUGUGACUGAGGCAUAUUGGCACAAGCUUAAUGGGCUGGAUAUCUAUCAAUCUCUUCAUAUUAUCGAUCCACUCCAAAAUUCUUCCAACACAUACCCCUUACUCCCUAGUCCAAGCUCUGGUCGGGCUAUGGGAGUAUUCACUUGGCUUUUAAACUGCAGG